GAGAGGACGACCAGCCACACUGGGAUUGAGACACGGCCCAGAUUCUUACGGGAGGCAGCAGUGGGGAAUUUUGGACAAUGGGGGCAACCCUGAUCCAGCAAUGCCGCGUGUGUGAAGAAGGCCUUCGGGUUGUAAAGCACUUUUGUCCGGAAAGAAAACUUCGCCGUUAAUACCGGUGGAGGAUGACGGUACCGGAAGAAUAAGCACCGGCUAACUACGUGCCAGCAGCCGCGGUAAU
rnacentral:rRNA from 1 species